rnacentral:tRNA from 1 species
GCCGAAGUGGUGAAAUUGGUAUACACGCUAUCUUGAGGGGGUAGUGACGAAUAUAGUCAUGCGGGUUCAAAUCCCGCCUUCGGUA